rnacentral:rRNA from 1 species
CCAAUAGCGUAUAUUAGAGUUGUUGCAGUUAAAAAGCUCGUAGUUGAAUUUCAGGCCUGGCUGGACGGUCCGCCCUUCGGGUGAGUACUGUCUGUGGUCGGGUCCUACCUUCUGGCGAAGCGUCAUGGCCUUAACCGGCCGUGGCGGGGAACCAGGACUUUUACUGUGAAAAAAUUAGAGUGUUCAAAGCAGGCAAUCGCUUGGAUACAUUAGCAUGGAAUAAUGGAAUAGGACAAUGGUUCUAUUUGUUGGUUUCUAGGACCGUUGUAAUGAUUAAUAGGGAUAGUUGGGGGCAUUAGUAUUCAAUUGUCAGAGGUUAAAUUCUUGGAUUUAUUGAAGACUAACUACUGCGAAAGCAUUUGCCAAGGAUGUUUUCAUUAAUCAAGAACGAAAGUUAGGGGAUCGAAGACGAUCAGAUACCGUCGUAGUCUUAACCAUAAACUAUGCCGACUAGGAAUCGGGCGAUGUUGACAAAAUGACGCGCUCGGCACCUCAUG